UUUGUACUCCCUACGUCCCAAAAUACUUGUCUUAAAUUUGCCUAAAUACGGAUGUAUCUAGUUACAUUUUAGUGUUAGAUACAUCCGUAUCUAAACAAAUGUAAGACAAGAAUUUUGGGACGGAGGGAAUACUAC
rfam:Triticum aestivum genome assembly, contig: Triticum_aestivum_CS42_TGACv1_scaffold_152974_2BS